rnacentral:lncRNA from 1 species
CACGUGACUAUUUAUCAGGCCUUACCACGAUCACAAAUUGUACAGGAAAAUGAUCAUGUCACUGAGUAGUCUUUGCUUCAUAUUGUGGGCCAAGUCAGAAAAAAAUUAGUGCGCUUUUUCGUCUUGCUUUACUUGCAACAACAUCUAUUUGCAACAAAUUAAGCUUCAAACUGUAAGUUUAAUUAUUCCUAAGCGUUCUUAAUUAAUUCCUCAGUUUGGAGUCUUUAGCCGUUUCUUAACCUCAAAUUCUAUCAAUAAAUUAAAAACUGCGCCGACUGUAUCUUGAACUAAUUUAGUAGUUCGCCUCAUUAGUAUAAAGGCCUGAUUCCACGGGCGCUUUUUCUUGGCGAAAUGCGAAAUAUUUCGCCUGUUUCUUUUAAAUUGUGAUCAAUCAAGUAGAAAUAAUUUAUUCGAGUAGUCGCAAUUCAAAAGAAACAGGCGAAAUAUUUCGCA